rnacentral:lncRNA from 1 species
GCUACGAGACGACCGCCAACGCCCUCGCCUUUGCUGUGUACUGCAUUGCAACCCACCCCGAGGGUACUGCAACCUACCGGUUGAGACAACUGUAGCGCAAGCGCCCCGACGCAGCAACUUGGUUCCUGACGGCGACAAACACCGAGAUAAAGAUAGGGACAUUUUGCUUGCUUGCCACGCUUUGACGUUCGGUUGUUAGUAUCCUUAACCAUGGUGUUUCCCUGGACCCUGCUGCUGUGCGUGUUCCCCUGGCUGCAGUGGAGUCUCGUCUGCUGCGUGAGGUGGAUGAUGUGCUGCCUGGGUCAGACCAGCUGCCCGGCGAGUCCGACCUGCCGCGCCUGGCCUACACGGAGGCGGUGGUGAACGAGGCGCUGCGGCUGUUCCCGCCCGCGCACCUCACCAGCCGCGUGGUGCCGCCCGGGGAGACGCUCACGGUGCGUGUCACGAACAGGACGCCGGGUUACCAGCAUGUUAACGUUUCGUUGUGACCCAGGCCCUGUCAUUACCGUAAAUGCAGGUUGGCGGAUUCAACAUCCCGGCUGGCAUUCCCAUUUUCCUACCCAUGUACAUUGCGCACCGCGACCCCGCCGUGUGGCCGCGAGCGGAUGUGUUCCUUCCCGAGCGCUUCCUGCACGUGAGUGAAGGCUGCAUGAGUGUCCGGUGUGUGGCGGGUUCUUGUCAGGCCUACUUACGUCAUUAGCUGAGGGCCCGCGGGCAGCAGUUGCCUGGAGUCCCGUGCUAUCCAGCCCCGCCCCCUGCGCCCCAUCGCUCCCCCCUCAUCCGACCCCUGCCCAACCCGCCCCCCUGUUCCCCCCUGCCUGCCUGCCUGCCUGCCUGCCUGCCUGCCUGCCUGCCUGCCUGCCUGCCUGCCUGCCUGCCUGCCUGCCUGCCUGCCUGCCUGCCUGCCUGCCUGCCUGCCUGCCUGCCUGCCUGCCUGCCUGCCUGCCUGCCUGCCUGCCUGCCUGCCUGCCUGCCUGCCUGCCUGCCUGCCUGCCUGCCUGCCUGCCUGCCUGCCUGCCUGCCUGCCUGCCUGCCUGCCUGCCUGCCUGCCUGCCUGCCUGCCUCAGUCCUCUCCGCUGUACGAGUCACUGCAGCCGCGCGGCGCCGCCCAGCAGCACGCCCACGCGCCGUUCGGCUACGGCAGCCGCAUGUGCAUCGGCUACAAGUUCGCAAUGCAGGUGCGUGUGGGCCGCAGACUUCGACACACGGUCUUGUGACGCUGCUGCGUAUCUGCACGCGCGCGGACCCACUCGUCCCACAGGCAACGGUCGUGUGCGGGAUCACCCGAUGUGCGGUGAUGAACCUUCUGGCUUCAGUUUAAUCGCGCAUGUUGCCCGCUUGCCCACCAUGCUGUUCCCAAUCCUCAUCAGGAGGCCAAGGUGGCCCUCGCCACACUGUACCGCCGGCUGACCUUCACGCUGGAGCCGGGCCAGCAGCCGCUGCAGGUGGAGGCGUCACUGACCAUGGCGCCGCGCGGCGGGCUGCGCGUGACGCCGGUGCCGCGGCGCAAGCUGUGAGGCGAAGGUGGCGGAGACGAGUGAAGAAAUGUGGGAUGCAGGACGUGUUGCGAGAGGGCGCCCGCUUUGGGGUCUGACAGCAUGAGGGCUUUAGAGGCCGGUCCGGGCGUAGCACGACGUUUAUGGCAGAAUGUUGGCAUGUUGUUUGUCGCCCUUCAGCAACUGCAAGAAUCUGUGGAGGUAGUACGGCAGGGGAACUAACGACUUGCACGAACCCCCAUGCACGGCUCAUGCACAAAGGUUUGCUGUGUUGACCGUAAGCACAUAUACUGGCAAUAGUUGCGCCUAAACACUUUGCGACGUCCGGGAUGUCGAACGUAUUUGCAAACUGGCCGUCGGGCUCGGGAGCACCGCUCGGGGGCCUUCUGCGCAGCCUGGGAAUGGUGAGACUGUCUCGUUGAUGAUACAUAAUUCUGUACAUGGACUAUAAUUGCGUGUUUCGUGAAAGCUCCAGCAGGACCGUCGGCGGAGCACCAGUAAUUAUUGUGAGACAUCCUCUCCGCAGGUCGCUGCGGGCUUCGCGCUUCUGCUGGUGUCGCUGAUCAUAUACCUUCUGGAUCCUAUUAAGCGCUGGCGGCUUCGCAAAAUCCCCGGUGAGCCGGCGACGCCAACCGCUGAGUUCAUGGUUUACGAACACCCAUUGUAAACGCGACGUCUGCUCUCGAGCAAGCGUCGCAAAUACAAAGUGCCCCAACAUAAUGCCCUCAGUUCAUUCAGUACGAAUGGGGGGUUGACGAGCACGACGCACAGACACUAACCCAUGCACCCCCACCCCCCUCGCAACCAGGCCCUCGCGGCCGCCCGGUGCUGGGCUGCCUGCCGCAGCUGCGGGCGCAGCCCAUGCCUCUGUUCCUUCAGAGCUGCGCCCAGACCUACGGACCCGUGUUCAAGGCAAGCGGUGCCGACGCAUGCUGAAGGGGGACACGCACGCAUGCAUGUUCCUUGCUUGUCAGCAGAGGUGCAGGCACGAGGUGCAGGGAACUGCGGUCUUACUCCAUCAUGUUUCCCGCAUGCAGGUGGCUCUGGGCCGCAAAUGGGUGGUGGUGCUGGCGGAUGCAGAGAUGCAGCGACAGGUGGAUGGGGCGGGGUCGGAGCGGGGUCAGGGUGGGGGUGCUCAAAUCCGCUUAGAGACAUCGCGGGGACCAUGGGAGAUAGCAGGGUGGUUUGGCAGCCCUUGCGGCGGACAGUUGUCGGUUUUGUCGUUGUGAUGGCUGCGGUAGGGGAUCGCACAAGCUGUACAUGCGGCCCCUGACUACUGGGACAUCCACCACAUCCAACCGUACCGUACCGUAUUCGCUGCGGCCCUCCUUGCUCCUGCCCGCCGGCCAUGGAGCUAGCUGUGCCCUGGAACCACCCACUUCAACUUGUACAGCGGUCCUAACUCCACGGACACACGCUGGCCUGUCUGCAGGUCGGCUUCAAGCUGCGGGCCCAUGCGCGGACGGACCCGGACUUCUCCCGGGGGCGCUACCACGCCAUGCUGUCGUCCAUGCUCCUGCGCGCCAGGUGCGUGGCUGUGUGUGUGCGCUGUGCUGGGCGAUGGCUGGUCGUGUUGGGAGCCCGGUGGCGUCGUUGGGUUCUGACCCAGCGCUUAUUUGCGUGGUGGGCUUACGCGUGGCAACCGGCCGCGGACGUGCCCCGCCGACCCAAACCCACACCCUGACAUGCCUGCCCCCCCCCGCCCCCCACACACACGCAGCGGCUCCACCUGGCGGCAGCUGCGUGCCGCCUGGCAGCCCGCCUUCGCGCCCGCCAGCCUGGCCGGCUACCUCCCACUCAUGACCGGCUGCGCAGACCAGCUGGCCAGGCGGCUGGAGGCCAAGGCCACAGCCGCGGCCGGCGCCACAGCCUCCGGUGCUACGGCCGGCGGCGGCAGCAGUGUGGACAUGUGGCGUGAGCUGGGUGGCAUGACGCUGCAGGUGGUAGGCUCCACUGCGUACGGGUGAGCGGGGCGGGGCGGGGGCAGGGGCGCUGCACGCAGAGCACAUGCCCACUCGAGGCUUGGACUCGGAGCAUGACAUCCGCUGGGCAGCGUGGCAUGCCCAAUCCUACGCGCCCCCCACACACCUGCCCCAGGGUUGAUUUCCACUCCAUCAAUGAGGAGGACCAGGCUGGUUCUGGAUCUGGGUCUGCUACCGCUACUGCCGGUGCUACAGCCGCCGCCAAGGGCCGUGGCGAUGACGGCUACGGCAAGCAGCUGGCGGCGGCGUGCGGCCAGAUCUUCCGAUACGGCAGUCCCGUGCACGGCAGCCCGUGAGUACGGCAAUCGGCAUGUGUGCAGGGGACAUGUAAGCUGGGUGUCAACCCACAGGCCAGGUCCUCCCGAACCUGUUGGACCUGUAGUGCGGCAAAGCCAUGUGCGUCCUUGCGCCUUUCUGCUCACAGCUACCUGCGUUUGGCCAUGCUGUUUCCGGAGCUGCGCUCUCUGCUGUUGACGCUGGCGCACACACUGCCCGACGAGAAGUUCACGAUCCUAACGAAGGUAGGUAGUUGGGUAGGGCGUCAGUGCAUGGUUUUGGUGUUGUAAGGGAUAUGGAGUGCGUGCUUGGCGCGCCCUGGUGCACCGCACCCCGAUGGAGAUUUUGGCCUCAGCACGCAACUACUUACCAAAGUGACAAUGGGACACAUGAUGUAUGACGCUGCAGGCCCGCACACGGUUGUGCAACACCGUCUUCCAGUUAAUUGACUCAUGGAAGGAGCAGCAUCGUGCGGAGGCUGAGAUUGAUGCCGCGGCUAGCAGUGGCAAGCCGGAUGUUGGAGCCGGCAGGCACAGCAGCAACGGCGUGGGGGCUGCUGCUACCAGCGGCCGCGGCGGGCUGUCGGGUGUGGCGCCCGGGAGCUUCCUGGACCUCAUGCUAGGGCAGCGCCAGGGCGGGGAAAGAGGCAGCGGCGGAAAGAAGGCGGAGGGCGAGGAGGGUGUGGAGCACGCGCCCCUGACCGAUGAGCAGGUGGCGGGGCAGGUGAGAUCACGAGAUGGGUGGUGUAAUGGGGAGCAGGAUGGAGCGGUGCAGAGGCCACUCGGACUUGCCAUCUCACCAUGUCCUCACGUACAAGCAAGUGAAGCAACGCCACACCACACCGCCGCGUCUCACGCCUGCAGGUGCAGCUGUUCAUCUUGGCGGGCUACGAGACGACCGCCAACGCCCUGGCCUUUGCUGUGUACUGCAUUGCAACCCACCCCGAGGGUACUGCAACCUACCGGUUGAGACAACUGUAGCGCAAGCGCCCCGACGCAGCAACUUGGUUCCUGACGGCGACAAACACCGAGAUGAAGAUAGGGACAUUUUGCUUGCUUGCCACGCUUUGACGUUCGGUUGUUAGUAUCCUUAACCAUGGUGUUUCCCUGGACCCUGCUGCUAUGCGUGUUCCCCUGGCUGCAGUGGAGUCUCGUCUGCUGCAUGAGGUGGAUGAUGUGCUGCCAGGGUCGGACCAGCUGCCCGGCGAGUCCGACCUGCCGCGCCUGGCCUACACGGAGGCGGUGGUGAACGAGGCGCUGCGGCUGUUCCCGCCCGCGCACCUCACCAGCCGCGUGGUGCCGCCCGGGGAGACGCUCACGGUGCGUGUCACGAACAGGACGCCGGGUUACCAGCAUGUUAACGUUUCGUUGUGACCCAGGCCCUGUCAUUACCGUAAAUGCAGGUUGGCGGAUUCAACAUCCCGGCUGGCAUUCCCAUUUUCCUACCAUUGUACAUUGCGCACCGCGACCCCGCCGUGUGGCCGCGAGCGGAUGAGUUCCUUCCCGAGCGCUUCCUGCACGUGAGUGAAGGCUGCAUGAGUGUCCGGUGUGUGGCGGGUUCUUGUCAGGCCUACUUACGUCAUUAGCUGAGGGCCCGCGGGCAGCAGUUGCCUGGAGUCCCGUGCUAUCCAGCCCCGCCCCCUGCGCCCCAUCGCUCCCCCCUCAUCCGACCCCUGCCCAACCCGCCCCCCUGUUCCCCCCUGCCUGCCUGCCUGCCUGCCUUCCUGCCUGCCUGCCUGCCUGCCUGCCUGCCUGCCUGCCUGCCUGCCUGCCUGCCUGCCUGCCUGCCUGCCUGCCUGCCUGCCUGCCUGCCUGCCUGCCUGCCUGCCUGCCUGCCUGCCUGCCUGCCUGCCUGCCUGCCUGCCUGCCUGCCUGCCUGCCUGCCUGCCUCAGUCCUCUCCGCUGUACGAGUCACUGCAGCCGCGCGGCGCCGCCCAGCAGCACGCCCACGCGCCGUUCGGCUACGGCAGCCGCAUGUGCAUCGGCUACAAGUUCGCAAUGCAGGUGCGUGUGGGCCGCAGACUUCGAUACGGUCUUGUGACGCUGCUGCAUAUCUGCACGCGCGCGGACCCACUCGUCCCACAGGCAACGGUCGUGUGCGGAUCACCCGAUAUGCGGUGAUGAACCGUCUGGGGUCAGUUUAAUUGCGCAUGUUGCCCGCUUGCCCACCAUGCUGUUCCCAAUCCUCAUCAGGAGGCCAAGGUGGUCCUCGCCACGCUGUACCGCCGGCUGACCUUCACGCUGGAGCCGGGCCAGCAGCCGCUGCAGGUGGAGGCGUCACUGACCAUGGCGCCGCGCGGCGGGCUGCGCGUGAUGCCGGUGCCGCGGCGCAAGCUAUGAGGCGAAGGCGGCGGAGACGAGUGAAGAAAUGUGGGAUGCAGGACUUGUUGCGAGAGGGCGGCCGCUUUGGGGUCUGACAGCAUGAGGGCUGUAGAGGCCGGUCCGGGCGUAGCACUACGUUUAUGGCAGAAUGUUGGCAUGUUGUUUGUCGCCCUUCAGCAACUGCAAGAAUCUGUGGACGUAGUACGGCAGGGGAACUAACGACUUGCACGAACCCCCAUGCACGGCUCAUGCAGAAAGGUUUGCUGUGUUGGCCGUAAGCACAUUACUGGCAAUAGUUGCGCCUGAACACUUUGCGACGUCCGGGAUGUCGAACGUAUUUGCAAACUGGCCGUCGGGCUCGGGAGCACCGCUCGGGGGCCUUCUGCGCCUGGGAAUGGUGAGACUGUCUCGUUGAUGGUACAUAAUCUAUACAUGGACUGUAAAUGCGUGUUUCGUGAAAGCUCCAGCAGGACCGUCGGCGGAGCACCGGCGGGCCAGUAAUUGUUGUGAGACAUCCUCUCCGCAGGUCGCUGCGGGCUUCGCGCUUCUGCUGGUGUCGCUAAUCAUAUACCUUCUGGAUCCUAUUAAACGCUGGCGACUUCGCAAAAUCCCCGGUGAGCCGGCGACGCCAACCGCUGAGUUCAUGGUUUACGAACACCCAUGGUAGCCGCGACGUCUGCCCUUGAGCAAGCGUCGUCAUUACAGAGUGCCCCAACAUACUGCCCUCAGUUCAUUCAGUACGAAUGGGGAGUUGACGAGCACGACGCACAGACACUAACAACACAUACACGCCGCCCCCCCCCCCCUCGCAACCAGGCCCUCGCGGCCGCCCGGUGCUGGGCUGCCUGCCGCAGCUGCGGGCGCAGCCCAUGCCUCUGUUCCUUCAGAGCUGCGCCCAGACCUACGGACCCGUGUUCAAGGCAAGCGGUGCCGACGCAUGCUGAAGGGGGACACGCACGCAUGCAUGUUCCUUGCUUGUCAGCAGAGGUGCAGGGAAUUGCGGUCAUACUCCAUCGUGUGUCCCGCAUGCAGGUGGCUCUGGGCCGCAAAUGGGUGGUGGUGCUGGCGGAUGCAGAGAUGCAGCGACAGGUGGAUGGGGCGGGGUCGGGGCGGGGUCGGGGCGGGGGUGCUCAAAUCCGCUUAAGAGACGUCGCGGGGACCAUGGCCCAUGGGAGAUAGCAGGUGGUGUGGCAGCCCUUGCGGCGGACAGUUGUCGGUUGUAUCGUUGUGAUGGCUGCGGUAGGAGAUCGCAAAAGCUGUGCAACCGGCCCCUGUGCUGGGACAUCCACCACACCCAACCGCACCGUACCAUAUUCGCUGCGGCCCGCCUGCCUUCUGACCGCCGGCCAUGGCUUUAGCUGUGCCCUGGAACCAUCCACUUCAACAGCGGUCCUAACUCCACGGACACCCGCUGGCCUGUCUGCAGGUCGGCUUCAAGCUGCGGGCCCAUGCGCGGACUGACCCCGGGGGCGCUACCACGCCAUGCUGUCGUCCAUGCUCCUGCGUGCCAGGUGCGUGGCUGUGUGUGUGCGCUGUGGUGGGCGAUGGCUGGUCGUGUUGGGAGCGCGGUGGCGCCAUUGGGUUCUGACCCAGCGCUUAUUUGCGUGGUGGGCUUACACGUGGCAACCGGCCGCGGACGUGCCCCGCCGACCCAAAUCCACACCCUGAUGUGCCUGCCCCCCCCCCCCCACACACACACACACACGCAGCGGCUCCACCUGGCGGCAGCUGCGUGCCGCCUGGCAGCCCGCCUUCGCGCCCGCCAGCCUGGCCGGCUAUCUCCCACUCAUGACCGGCUGCGCAGACCAGCUGGCCAGGCGGCUGGAGGCCAAGGCCACAGCCGCCGCCGGUGCUACAGCCGGCGGCGGCAGCAGUGUGGACAUGUGGCGUGAGCUGGGCGGCAUGACGCUGCAGGUGGUAGGCUCCACUGCAUACGGGUGAGCGGGGCGGGGCGGGGGCAGGGGCGCUGCACGCAGAGCACCUGCCCACUCGAGGCUUGGACUCGGAGCAUGACAUCCGCUGGGCAGCGUGGUAUGCCCAAUCCUACGCGCCCCCCACGCACCUGCCCCAGGGUUGAUUUCCACUCCAUCAAUGAGGAGGACCAGGCUGGUUCUGGAUCUGGGUCUGCUACUGCUACUGCCGGUGCUACAGCCGCCGCCAAGGGCCGUGGUGAUGACGGCUACGGCAAGCAGCUGGCGGCGGCGUGCGGCCAGAUCUUCCGAUACGGCAGCCCCGUGCACGGCAGCCCGUGAGUACGGCAAUCGGCAUGUGUGCAGGGGACAUGUAAAGCUGGGUAUUGGCCCACAGGCCAGGUCCUCCCGCACCUGUUGGACCUGUAGUGUGGCAAAACCAUGCGCCCCUGCGCCUUUCUCCUCACAGCUACCUGCGUGUGGCGAUGCUGUUUCCGGAGCUGCGGUCUCUGCUGUUGACGCUGGCGCACACACUGCCCGACGAGAAGUUCACAAUCCUAACGAAGGUAGGUAUUUGGGUAGGGCGUCAGUGUAUGGUUUGAUGUUGUAAGGGAUAUGGAGUGCGUGCUUGGCGCGCCCUGGUGCAUCAGACCGCGAUGGAGAUUUGGGUAUCAGCACGCAACUACUUACCGAAGUGACAAUGGGGCACAUGAUAUACCGUAUGACGCUGCAGGCCCGCACACGGCUGUGCAACACCGUCUUCCAGCUAAUCGACUCAUGGAAGCAGCAGCACAGUGCGGAGGGUGCGACUGCUGCCGGGGCUAGCAGUGGCAAGCCGGACGCUGGAGCCGGGCAGAGCAACAACGGCGUGGGGGCUGCCGCUACUGGUGGUCGCGGGCUGUCUGGUGUGGCGCCUGGGAGCUUCCUGGACCUCAUGCUAGGGCAUCGUCAAGGCGGGGGAAGCGGCAGCGGCGGAAAGAAGGCGGAGGGCGAGGAGGGUGUGGAGCACGCGCCCCUGACCGAUGAGCAGGUGGCGGGGCAGGUGAGCUGGCUGAUUUCGUGGGGAGCAGGAGCGGCGCAGAGGCCAUUCGGACUUGCCACGUCUCCGUGUCCCUGCGUACAAGCAAGUGAAGUGACACCACACCGCGUCUCACGCCUGCAGGUGCAGCUGUUCAUCUUGGCGGGCUACGAGACGACCGCCAACGCCCUGGCCUUUGCUGUGUACUGCAUUGCAACCCACCCCGAGGGUACGUGCAAUCUACCGGUUGAGACACCUGCAGCGCAAACGCGCUGACACAGCAACUUGGUUCCUCACGGCGACAAACACCGAGAUGAAUGAUAGGGGACAUUUUGCUUGUUUGCCACGCUUCGACGUUGCGGUUGUUAGUAUCCUUAACCUUCAUGGACUCUGCUGAACGUGUUCCCCUGGCUGCAGUGGAGUCUCGUCUGCUGCGUGAGGUGGAUGAUGUGCUGCCUGGGUCGGACCAGCUGCCCGGCGAGUCCGACCUGCCGCGCCUGGCCUACACGGAGGCGGUGGUGAACGAGGCGCUGCGGCUGUUCCCGCCCGCGCACCUCACCAGCCGCGUGGUGCCGCCCGGGGAGACGCU